rnacentral:lncRNA from 1 species
AAAUCCAUCCCUGAUCCCAAAAAUCAUCCCUGGGAUCCCAAAAUCCAUCCCUGAUCCCAAAAUCCAUCCCUGGGAUCCCAAAAAUCAUCCCAACCCCGCAGCCCCUGCAGCAGGCGCUGGGAAUCCUCCUCCUUCAGCCUGGAACCAUCCCAAAAAUCAUCCCUGGGAUCCCAAAAUCCAUCCCUGGGAUCCCAAAAUCCAUCCCUGAUCCCAAAAAUCAUCCCUGAUCCCAACCCCGCAGCCCCUGCAGCAGGCGCUGGUACUCCUGGGCCAGGCGCUGGGAAUCCUCCUCCUUCAGCCUGGAACGGAUCCCAAAAAUCAUCCCUGGGAUCCCCCUGAGAUCCCAAAUCCAUCCCUGACCCCAAACCUGACCCCAAACCCGUGCCCUUUGACCCCCUUGUGCCCUUUGACCCCAAACCUGUUCCCUUUGACCCCCCGGUGCCCUUUGACCCCAAACCUGUGCCCAUUGACCCCAAACCCGUGCCCUUUGACCCCCCGGUGCCCUUUGACCCCAAACCCAUGCCCUUUGACCCCCCCGGUGCCCUUUGACCCAGUGCCCUUUGACCCCAAACCCAUGCCCUUUGACCCCCGGGUGCCCUUUGACCUUGACCCCAGCCCAUGCUCUUUGAUCCCCUUGUGCCCUUUGACCCCCGGUGCCCUUUGACCCCAAACCCAUGCCCUUUGACCCCCCCAG